UAGGCUCAUGCAUCACCUUCCUGUCAGGAGGAUGGUGCAAGGCGGGCAGACAGGCAGGCGGGCAUAGCCCUGCCCUCCUCUAUUCCUCUCCCUCUUUUCAUUUCUCCAUUCAUGUGUUUCCCCUCUCUCUGUCCUUCGCUAACUUUACACCCUUUGUUUUUCUUUUAGUCAUUAUUGCUGUUGAAGCAGUCACCUGUUAGGCAAAGGGAGCUACUAAUUGCCAGUGGAAUGACAAUUACAGACUGGUUAUUGUUAUUAUCAUUUAGCAUGGCUUACAUAACUGCUCAGUCUUUGUUCUGUCUUACUGUAAGCUCUAUCUGCGCUCAGUGAAAAAUUAUACUCUGCAGUGUGAGAGUUAACAUCAGCCUGGUUGAUUUUAUAUUACUUUCUCAGGAUUUCUUAAAGCAGGAAUUGACAUGACAGGAAUGCAUGGAAAAAAACUUGAUAUGAUGGUGAUGCUGGAGAGGGAUACAUGAGAUCUGUUUGCGUGGUGGGGCGACUCAGAGGAGAGGAGAGGAGAGGAGAGGAGAGACGGUGCAUGAAACCAGAGGAAAGAUCCUUUUCUUACAUGAGGGCUGGCUCGGAGCUGAAGAAACCCACUGUACUGUACCAGUAUGCGGGCGUGUACACACCAGUGCUGCAGUCAGGGCAUCAAUUUUGAAUAGGAAAUGGCUGUUGAGGCAGCGCAGCAACGUCAGCUGUGAAGCACUUAGGCUGAGCGCGCCACCCUCUCUCUCCCCCCUGUAACCACGGGCUGAGGGGAGGAGGGUUCUGCCUUUUUCUGUGCAAUGGGGGAGAAGAGAGCGCUGGCAGCACAAUCAUGUCUGCCUCCGACUCGAGCGCUACAGGACUCAUCUGUAACAAGGGUUCAGCCGAUUCCUACACUAGUCGACCCUCGGAUUCCGACCUGUCCCUGGGGGAGGACCAGGAGGCGUCUCGGCGUGAAGCCGAGCGCCAGGUUCAACUGCAGCUAGAGAGAGCCAAGUCGAAACCAGUAGCAUUUGCAGUAAAAACCAAUGUGAGUUACUGUGGGGCCCUUGAUGAAGAUUGCCCAGUCCAAGGUGCCGCUAUUAACUUUGAAACCAAAGACUUUCUGCACAUAAAAGAGAAAUACAACAAUGAUUGGUGGAUCGGUCGGCUGGUGAAGGAAGGGGCAGACAUCACUUUCAUCCCGAGUCCAGUUAAACUGGAGGCCAUGAGGAUAAAACAAGAGCAGAAAGCAGCAGCAAGGAAAGGAGGGAACGCUUCUGCAGCCAAACAGAAGCAGAAACAGACCGAACAUGUUCCUCCGUAUGAUGUGGUCCCUUCUAUGCGGCCAGUGGUGCUGGUGGGCCCCUCACUGAAAGGCUACGAGGUAACAGACAUGAUGCAGAAAGCCUUGUUUGACUUCCUAAAGCACAGAUUUGACGGCAGGAUCUCUAUUACACGGGUGACUGCUGAUCUGUCACUGGCGAAGCGCUCGGUGCUGAACAAGAAGGCCAUAAUGGAGAGAUCCAACACACGCUCCAGUCUGGCUGAGGUCCAGAGUGAGAUAGAGAGGAUCUUUGAGCUGGCCAAGUCUCUUCAGCUGGUUGUCCUGGAUGCAGACACCAUCAACCACCCAGCACAGCUCCUCAAAACUUCUCUGGCUCCCAUCAUCGUCUACGUCAAAGUGUCCUCGCCUAAAGUUCUUCAGAGGCUGAUCAAAUCUCGAGGGAAGUCGCAAAGCAAACACCUCAACGUCCAGAUGAUGGCAGGAGACAAGCUAGCUCAGUGUCCACCUGUAUGUCUGCCUGAAACUCAGAAGAGAUGUUUGAUGUCAUCCUGGAUGAAAAUCAGCUGGAAGACGCGUGUGAACACCUUGCGGAGUACCUGGAAAUUUACUGGCGUGCUACGCAUCUCCCCUGUUCUGCCCCUGUUAACCCCUUAUUGGACCAAAGCGUGAUCACCCCACCCUCAGCUAACUCCAGCCAACAAUUUUCUGAGACUCAAGAGUUGAUAGAAUGAUUACUACCGCAGACAUAGGUGCAGCCUGUGCUGUCAGCUGGGGUCAGACUGGAGGUCAUAGAGCACAGGGACCAGGGCGCCACCAGGGGGCAGCAGCAGCCCUCAUCUCUCCAAAGCCAGCCACCACCUUCUCUGGCCACACCUGGGGCGAAGAAGAGAACAAAGAGCAGAAGCCCUAUGAGAGAAAGAGCAGGAGGCUGGUGAGCUGGAGGAAGAGGAGAAGCAAAAACAGGGAGAGGAGCAGGAAGAAGAGGAAGAUCUGACCAGAGGAGCGUCCACCUCACUGCUGCCCCCUCGGCAAGAGCUCCCUGCUCCCACCGCCACGCGACAACUCAGGGCCGCUUUCUACAGCUGCACACCUACUGGUAACAAAAACCAGUAAAGCAGUGCAGUCACUGCACACCACCCUCCCUCCCUCCCACCCUGACCUUGUUCCCGACUCCCUGCUUUCACACUGGAGGUCACAUCCCCCACCUGGUGAAGCUGAACUAGCCCAUGUGUGAUCAGAUACCCAGAAGUGGCUGUCCCAGACACAGAUAGGCUAAUUCAGCUCUCAUUAUAGACAAACUGCACACCUGUGAGGUCAGAGUAUGUUAGCAUACAGUACUGUAGCAUAGCAACGCAAUCAGUAUAACACAAAAUAUGAACAUGAAUAGCUUCCCAUUGUAGGGUUCCCAGGGUUUUCUUCUGAUAAACCUGGCUUCCCCCUCUGGCCAAAGAGUGCAGAGAGUGACAGUAAACAAGUUCUGUAUGUCUUCCAUCUCCACAGCUCUCGAUGAGCUGUCAUUCCAGUUUAGCCAAAUGUUUCCUCAAAGGCACAGUUGUUCCUUUAUCACUUGCUUUCUCUCCUUGUUUAUCUAGUAGCCUUUUUUAAAUUAUCCUUUCCCAUUUAUUUUUUUACACAAACUAUCUAUACUAUUAUGUAUAAUUCAUAUAUUGGCCCUCAGUAUAGCUGAUCACAUACCUGUACGCAACAGUGAUGCAAAACAAGCAUGACAAGCACAGGCUUGCACAGUCUAUAUGCAUCUUUUGUCACAGCUGUGAAUGUAUAAAUGCUGGUCGGUUAGCUUAGGAAGGAUUAUUUACAACAACUGUGGUUUGUUUGCAGAUGGUCGGUGGCCAAUCCCAAAACUAAAAUGAAAAUGCAAUUGAAUAUUAACCAAAAACUGUGGUUGUUGAUCUCACUUAUAGUUCUCUGAGAGAAAAAGGCUCUUCCAACAAAUGACAGACAAAUGCAAUACAAAUCACUAACUCACAUUUGAAAUUUUCUUCAAAUGUGAAUCUAAAUAAUGACAUUUAAUAAUUUCAACUAAUGAUACUGGAUGUCUGAUGUCACAGUAGUAUGCAUUUUUUUAUCCCAAAGAAAUUUUAAUUCUUCUUUCUGACACAAUUUGAUCCACCCAGAAACAUGUAGCAUAACCAGAUAUCAGACAUUUAACAAGUGUAGGUUACAGAUGCAUUGUUCCCGUCUCAGGCUGAUAACUGAAGCUUGGACUGGAACAAUGACUCUGUCCUUUUACUCUUAUAACCAGAUGUUGUACAUUAUGAUGAAUAAAUGAUCAUUUAUAUUGGCUGUUUCUUUGUGCAAAAGAAAAAAACAAAAGGGUAAAUUGGUGAGAGACAAACACAAGAUGAGUUGAUCUAUACAUAAAAAACACCUUGUUGAUUACAUGUUCUGUAUGAUUUCCAAAGAGAAUAGUUGUAUAGAUUAUAUACACAAUUAACUGUUUACUGAGCAUGUGUGCUGAAUGUAAUUCCUGGUGAUAUUAGCACUAAACUCUCCACAAACUACACAAACAGGAUCAUAUCUGCAUUUUAUUUUACCAUAUUGGUGGUAUCAUUUAAAUGUCACACUUCACUGCUCCUCAGUGGCAUAAUGGUAACUGAAGUAGUGGGUGGCCUAUAUCUUUUGAUGAUUGGUUGAGUUUAGACAUCAGUGGAGUCUCAGAAUUGAGGUUGCUCAGUGAAUAAGAAGUAGCAAUGCUGCAUAUGUUUGCACCCACCCUCCACUACAUCACUGUGCUACAACACUGAUCAGCCCUGAUCUCCCAAAUCAACAGAUUGCAAAGGGUUACUUCCUAGUAAACCCACUCAUUUUUCUUCAUUAUCUUUUAGCAUAAACAGCUAAAUAAGCACGUGUACUGCAUGCUUAUAAGUACAUGGAGGGUGACCUCUGGUGGCAUAUUUAUGUCACUCUCAUACCCACCACAGCUUAUUUCUCUGCCCAUUGCAAACAAACUGGAAGAUAUACAUUACAUAUAUAUAUAUAGAACUUCCAGUCAUAAGACUAGUUAAAUGUCUUUGAUGCAAAUACCAAAAGCUUCAUCCAAACUUUGCAUAGCCACCAGUAGUCUCUUUUGUUGAAUUAAUCAUCUAUUGCCUCCAUUACAUGUCUUACAGUAUUCACAAAAAUGAAUGCAUCUCAGUAAGCACUGCAAUUCUUACAUCAAUGCAUCUGCUUUUACCAUAUACAACUAUAGAAUUCAGCUUACAUAUCACACAUGUAAAUAACCUAAUGUAUGUGCAUGACAUAUUGUAUUGCUGUUUCAUCAGAAGGGCUUUUUGGGACCAUCCUCACAUGAGCCAUUCACUCUUCAGAAUAAAUCAACAUGACCUACAUAACCAGUCACCCGUAUACAUCAAGGCUUAAUUGUACAUACUGUAUAUUCGAUAUGCAGAUACUAUAAUUAUUACUAUUAUUACUAUUAUCAAAUUGCACAGAACCAACAAAUGCUGACAGAAAGUAGAGUACACAGUACACAAUUCUAUAUUAAACGCCUCAGAAAGCAUGUGUUUAUAUGUAUUUUCCUCUCUUUUUAGAAUGAUGCACUGCAGUUAUUUAGGACCACCGUCUAUCACUAAAGUUUGCUGUCACUGACUCCCACAUUAAUUUCUGAAGGACCAGGUUUGAGAUACAUGACUUCUACUUGAUGAAACACAGAGAGCACAGUAGCUUCUUUCGAUAAAAAAACAAAACAAAAUAUACAUAUAUUUAUCAGCUCCUUCUAUUUGCUUAAUUUUAUUGCAGGAAAUUUCUACAAAAAGUUAAUUAUUCUUUGGACCUACAAAGCACAAUUUUUUACUAUUAUCAUUUCCUAUUGCGUUUCACUUGCCUAAAUUCUGUAUGCAAUACAAAGUCUAGCAUUGACGAGACACUAGCUGAGACUAUCAAGAUAUCUCCUCAGUUAUGAUGGGGUAUAAUUGCACUACUAUCAUUUAUAUGUCUGCUUUACGAUGCAAUAAAUGCACUAAACGUUCUGCUGUACCCACCUCCAAUACUGAAUAAGUUGUCUGGUCUAAUGAUGAUGUCAACAUUUCACGUGGUUUCUGACAAGUCGAUAAGAUAAAUGAUAUCCAACAGUGUCUGAUGAGGAUGUGUACAGGGUGCAUCUUUUGUCUAUAGCACAUUUGAAAGAGGGGGUGAAUAAAACACAACAACAUUUAAGUAA